UGGGGAAUAUUGGACAAUGGGGGCAACCCUGUUCCAGCCAUGCCGCGUGAGUGAAGAAGGCCUUAGGGUUGUAAAGCUCUUUCGCUAGGGAAGAUAAUGACGGUACCUAGUAAAGAAGCCCCGGCUAACUUCGUGCCAGCAGCCGCGGUAAUACGAAGGGGGCUAGCGUUGUUCGGAAUUACUGGGCGUAAAGCGCGCGUAGGCGGGUCGUCAAGUUAGGGGUGAAAGCCCGGGGCUCAACCUCGGAACUGCCUUUAAAACUGAUACUCUAGAGUCCGGAAGAGGGUCGCGGAAUUCCCAGUGUAGAGGUGAAAUUCGUAGAUAUUGGGAAGAACACCGGUGGCGAAGGCGGCGACCUGGUCCGGUACUGACGCUGAGGCGCGAAAGCGUGGGGAGCAAACAGGAUUAGAUACCCCCGUAGUCC
rnacentral:rRNA from 1 species